rnacentral:lncRNA from 1 species
CCCAGCAGUUUAUUUCAGAUUUGCUAGGUGCAGAAGCCAGGCUGUGCCUGUUUGCUUUGCCUUCUGCAGAGCCUUCCUCAGGCUGUGUCCUCACCUCUGCCAUUUAAUAUUGCACUCUUGCUGUAGAGAUUAAAACCACUUAAUAAAAUGGAGAAGGUUCUUUUGGAGAUUCAUCAAGAUCCAUUGUUUAUAAGAUCCCAAUUUUGCAAGGACACAGAAAGAACAAAAGAAAAUAUGUAUAUGUUGUAUUACAAAAGCCUGGAAGAGCGACAUCAAAUGGUAAUAGGUUUUUGGUUGUUUCUUUUUUUUUUUUCCCGAACAGUAAGAGAAUGACUAAUUUUUGUUUUUAUACUUUUUUGGAGGCUUUUAUUUUUUACUCACAGCUUCUAUAAUCAAGAAAGCCAUUUCUAGCAAUGUAAAACAAGACACGCUCUCUGCCUCCUCCGACACCUGUGUGCUGUGCCACAGUGUAGGGAUGACAGGUGGUUCCUGGUCUGAAAGCCUGAGCACCAAGGCUGGGGGCCUGAGGCAGAGCACAGAAAGAAGUAUAAAUGUCAGAAGCUGACCCCAAAUAAUCCCAUUACAGAGAAACGGGAUUUUCAAGAGUGUCUGGUCAUAGAAUUAAGAAUGCUGACACUGGUUCAGUUCCAAACCUAACUGGGAAAACAUGAAAAUGGUUACCAUCUGGAGCUGUCUGGUGUCAGAAGGCGAGGUGAGGAGGCGGUCUGUGGCCAGGGCACCCACGGCUGGGACUCCAAGGGAGACUUUGGAGGCAGGUGGUGACCUGAACACAGCAGUACUUCUAGAAGGAUUUGCAGCUUUUGCAAAGCAGAGCUCUUUUUUGGGGGGACGGUGUGGGCAGCCGGAAGGGGUGCAUUUUGAAGCCCAGCAUCUUCCUGCAUGUCUCAAGUCUUCUGGGAAAAGAAUCUCUUGUCUCUGUGCACCUUCUUGAAGCAUUUACUUUGGCCUUCAUAAAAUUGAAUGUGAAAGCGGGUCCUCUUUGUGUGGAAAAUUGUUACCAAAUCCUUCUGAAGGAGGACCUGAAAGUGCUGGAAUUGGGGACAGAGGGAAAUCAAUCUCUUUACUCACUCACACUGGUGGCAGAGGUCUCUCUCUCUCAGGGAAAUAGAGCCCCACUGAAAUUAAUUGUUUGGGGAAAGAAGGGGAAAAUGUUUUCUUUACCAAUCCAAGAACCCUCAACAUCUAUAGAAAGGAGGUCAUUUUAGAAGCCUCAAAGGAAUUUUUGGAAGAAGAGGUAUAACCACAUCUCCG